GGGCUCACUUAGGCAGCACACACACUAACACUGGGCCGACACAGAGAUAGCACUGGCCCCUGCACAAGGUUGACAUGCAAAUCUGUGAAGCAUUCAUAUUUUUG